rnacentral:rRNA from 1 species
AUCUUCCACAAUGGGCGAAAGCCUGAUGGAGCAACGCAGCGUGAGUGAAGAAGGUUUUNGGAUCGNANAACUCUGUUGUAAGGGANGCACAAGUACAGUAGUAACUGGCUGUACCUUGACGGUACCUUAUUAGAAAGCCACGGCUAACUACGUGACAGCAGCCGCUGUAAUACGGAGGUGGCAUGCUUUGACCGGAAUUAUUGGGCGUAAAGCGCGCACAGGCGGUCCUUUAAGUCUAAUGUGAAAGCCCACGGCUCAACCGUGGAGGUUCAGUGGAAACUGGGGGACUUGAGAGCAGAAGAGGAAAGUGGAAUUCCAAGUGUAGCGGUGAAAUGCGUAGAGAUCUGGAGGAACACCAGUGGCGAAGGCGACUUUCUGGUCUGUAACUGACGCUGAAGCGCGGGAGCGUGGGGAGCAAACA